rnacentral:ncRNA from 2 species
CGUUAAGGCUAGGGGUGCUUCAUCGCAUGAUGAGGCUGAGACAGACCCUUUGAACCUGAUUCCGGUUAAUACCGGCGUAGGAAAGCCCCACUUACCUGCG